UACGUAGGCAGCGAGCGUUGUUCGGAAUUACUGGGCGUAAAGAGUGCGUAGGCGGUGCUCUAAGUCUGUUGUGAAAUCUCCCGGCUCAACUGGGAGGGUGCGGCGGAAACUAGAGUGCUAGAGUAUGGGAGAGGGAUGCGGAAUUCCAGGUGUAGCGGUGAAAUGCGUAGAUAUCUGGAGGAACACCGGUGGCGAAGGCGGCAUCCUGGACCAAUUCUGACACUGAGGAGCGAAAGCCAGGGGAGCAAACGGG
rnacentral:rRNA from 1 species